CGGAAUGUUGGGGCUAGAGUGAGGCAGCUCAACUGCUAGAGUGAGAGGAGCAAAAAAAUUAAUCUUAAAAUAUUUUUUAAAACUGCUGCUGUGUCUGCAGCGUUUGCUCUACAGGUAUGAUUUUACCCUCAAAACGUAGCCAUGGCUGUCCUCUUUCAUCCAAUGUGUUUACUAUUGUACUAGGUGUUAUGGUUCUUUCAUAAAUGUCACCAAUGCACAGCCUCCUCCCUCCAACUCUUCCAUAGACUCUAAUGUUAAAAUGGCUCAGAAGGUUCGUUUGAAAAUCAGAAGAGCAUGGUGUCUUUACACUGUCACCACGUCCAUAUAAUAAGCUCCACAGGCAUGAAAACUGAGAAUUAGGUAGACUAGACAUGGCUGUCGCUCACGGUGAAAGAAUUUUGUCAAUACGACAUGUACUUUUCAUUUGGGAAGAAUUUGUUUGGGCCUGACUUUUCUGUUCAUUUUAAGCAGCAAAAGUGAGGCGCAUGUCUGUGUACGUGUGUAUGGAGCCAUUGGGUGCGGUCACUAUAGCAACCAGGCUCACACCUGCCUGCUUAACGAGCUCUGCCUGCCACUGUACCAAGAUUCAUCUUAAGCACUUCUCUUUCAACUGCUGCUGUGUCCACAGUGUUACAGCCAUCAUUUUACCCUCAAAUUGUCGCCAUUAUUGUUCUCUUUCCAACACCGUAUCUUUCAAAGCUCAGGCAUUUAAACUUUUUAAACUGUGUGGAUCAAAGUGGAGGGAUCACAUUUGAGUCAUUCAGUGAUUCAAAGAAUAUGACCUUUUAAUAUUCAUUCAGAUGUUUUCUGACUCUAAAUGUUCUUUUCUCAUUUCUUAGGGUUUUCUAAUUUACAUUUAAAACAUUUUCAGUUUUUUUCCAACUCCUUCUUCUGUGUAACCUUCAGCUUUUAGCAGUUCAGCACCUUUGUUUUCAGGUUAAAUUCGUUUUUUUUUUUUGUUUUUUUUUAAUCUCAUUCAAUAUUUUUAACUCAAAAUUCAGCAAUUAAUUCAUUUCAGUGCAUACAUUCAGAUUCAAGCAUUCACACUGCAGUUUCUUCAGAAAAUGCACUUUCUAGUUAUUAUAUUUUAUCUAUUCCGUACGUUUUUUGAAAGCCUACUCCUUCAAAACCGUUCAACUUAGAAAAACCAUUCAAACACCAUUAGAUUCCUAUUCUUUUGGACACUGUUGCUUGUAUUUUUCUCAUUUUUAACAUUUAUAUUUUUAAUUUUAUUCAACUUUAUUCAACAAAAAUUUCCCAUGUAUUUCAAUGGGGAGACCCUUCAAAUUCUCAUUCAACUUACUCAUUUUUAAACUCUUACUACUUCAACAUACGUUCACAUAGAGCCACCAUUCAAACUUUAAAACGAAGACAAGACAUUCAACUAUUCAACUUGUAUUUAUCUUUUCAAUAUCUAUUAUACUUUUUCUUCAGUUCCAGUUUAAGUUUCAUGAUGUUUUUUCACCCGUUUCAGAGUUUAUAAUGGGUGUGUAUGGGACGGAAUGUUGGGGCUAGAGUGAGACAGCUCAACUGCUAGAGUGAGAGGAGCAAAAAAAA
ensembl:lncRNA